UGGGAGGUAACUCAGUGAUAGAGCACUUGCUUAGUAUGCAAGAGACCCUGGGCUCCAUACCCAGCAACACAC
rnacentral:tRNA from 1 species